CGCGACCCCAGGUCAGGCAGGACCACCCGCUGAGUUUAAGCAUAUCAAAA
rnacentral:rRNA from 1 species